AGCAAGGUAGCACAGGAAGACUGGGCUAUGCGAGUUCUGUCUUUUCCCCUGUGAUCUCCCGUGGGCCACAACUGCACGCCCCUGAAUUCAGGCAUGCAUCUGGCAAUUCUACAGAGCUCCGGUGCAGAAAGCAGGCGCUCACUCCCUUGGAAGAACUGUUCACAGUUUAAAUGGCCAAACGUCAUGGUCUGAGACUUGUGCUUACCCAAGAUACACCAGACACUAUCUCUGAAGAAGAAAUUUGCAGUGGGAACAAAGGAAGACAGAGAAUUGGGAUAUGACUGACUGUCCUGUUUGGGGUCCUGUCCUGCUCUCUCAUAAUUGGGAAUACUGCUGGAACCUAGCAUGAAGAGUUACGGCAAGUAGUUGUAACCCAAUUUAUUGACCUCACUGCAUCCAGUACUAAACUGGUACUUCAGUACAGUUAUCCCUCCAUUGCCAUGGGCUCCACAUCUGUGAAUUCAACCAACCACAGAUCUGAAAUAUUUGAAAACAAGAUACCAUCUGAACUGAAAGCGUACGGACUUGUUUUCCUGUCACUAUUUUCUAAACAACAUGGUUGGCUUCCCUAAGAUUGGGUGCUGAAGGAGUGAGGGAAGCAGGAUUGGUCAGGAGUUGUUGAACUGUGAUGAAGUUGCAAGAGAGGUUUCAGCGGAUGCCAAGAAAAUACUGGAACUAGGAUGACCUGUCCAUCAGAGAAGUUCUUUCUUAAGUCAGAGGGGUCAGGUCUUGCUGCUUUGCUGCACCCACUGGUAACUAUUUGAGGGCUCCCAAAGGGUGGGGUGACAAUGCUCUCUUUUGCAGAGAGCAAUUCCCAAAGAUAAAGAGUUGGGUUCUGUCAGUAGUAGCAGCUCAGGAGUGAGUACUUCAGCCCUAAGGCAGGUACUGAAGAUGUUCUUCAACAUUUAACAACUGUGCUGAGUUUCACUUGGCUCUUGAUUGACAUUGUAAAGUGAGACCUCCAUCAGAAAGAAAAUAUCAAAACUAGGAUAAAGGCAUUGGGACAACAUAAGGUCGAGGCAUUUAGAGAUUGGCCAUCAGAAGUUCCUGUAUUUCUUCUUGCCUUGUGCCUCCAUAACAGUCAGUCAGCUCAUCUGCCUCUGUAGAGCCUUUCCUCAAACAAGUUAAGAUGGCCUUUUACAGAACUCUUCAUAGCAUCUGUGCUUCAGCAUAGCUUUCUGUGUCAGUAAAAGUCAACAUAACCCAAUUUUAACAACCUUGGUUUUGAAAUAAAACAGGCAUUGAUUCAAAUCCCAGCUCUGACACGUGAUACCUGUGUGGUCCUGAGCAAAGGACUUAACAUCCCUCAACUUUGGUUUUUUUUUCGAUUAUAAGAUAGAGCCAAUAAUAUCAACCCCCAGGAGUGAAGAUGAAGAAUAAACUGGUAUGGUAAAUGCAAAGGGCCUAAGGUGUGCCACCAGUUAUUAUUUGAAUUACAGCAAUUUUUGUAUUACUAAUAAUAUUUCUAUUAGCAUUCUCGACCAUCAAUCACAGCUGUCUGAGCUGGUGGGUUUGGAUUUUCCAGGUGCAGGAUGAGGUGGAGUUUGGCUGAGAGCAUGAUGAGCUCUCUGGGAUGGAUCCUGUUCUAAUAACAGCCCAGUGCAGCUAGUCACGUGCUCCUUUGUCGUGGCUCCUGUUAACACACGAGGUCAUCCUGAGACACAGAGUGCUCUGAUGUUAAACGGUAUAAAAGCCAGAGGUGGGUCAGUCGAUUAGGUGAUGCUUUUAGUCUUUCUAAGCUUGCUGCUGCCUCAGGAGUCAACAGCACAUUUUGCAUAAAGCAAGUGCCCUUCUGGAGUAUAGACAGCAGAGGGAAGUGAUGAAUUCACUAGAAAGGGAAUGUCAUAGGUGGGCUUCAAGUUUUGUAAAUUGAUGUGAUUCUGCAAUUUGUAUACGGGGUAAAAAUGGGAGUUCAUAACCCACUUGAAUCAAAGUGUGAAAUACGAUAUGUCGAGAACUAUGUAAUGUUUUGAACAACCAACAAUAAAAAAAAAAGAAAAAAAAAUUUUACAAAUCCUGAUAUUCCUUUAAGAUGCUUAAAAUACAUUAUAUGUAAAUAAAUUUAUGUGUAUAUAAAUGAAUAACUUAUAAAUACAUAAAACAAAGGUAUAUAUGAUAUAUAAAUAUAAAUAAAUACAUAAAUCAAACAUAUGUAUAUAUAUUCAACAUUCAUCUCAGCAUGGAACAAAUAAAGAAUACAUAUAUUGAUGUCUGAUUUUACUUAACAUCAAGAUUAAUUAUUUUUCAAGGUAAAUAUUGACUAAAGUGGAGACCAGGGCAGUGUGUACCUCUCAGUUCAAUAAUUCUUGAUGUUAACUUCAGCAGAAAUCAAUGUCUGCUUAUUGUACUCCUAAGAGCCAAAGCAGGCAACUCUACCAUUUUAAAUAUAUUUUAGUUCUAAAAUUAAAUCAAAAUCUGUCUUGGAUCUCGUGAGUACUAAGUAUUCCUGAGUUCUUUCUACAAAAUGUUAAAUAAAACAUUUAUUGGGUCUGUUGCCCCUGACACAGAUCAGAAGACUCCACAGACGAGAAGGAAUCAUUUUAAAGUGGUAAAAGGUGAACCACAACUACUCGAAGGUGUUAUCCAGAAAGAUUUUAGCCUGGAGUUUCAUUACAAUAGAAAUAACAAUCAGAUGUGGGGAAUAAGAAAGCUAGUAGAAUGAACAGACAUUAUUAUUUCAUGUAUGUAUGUGACUGCAUGACCAAUGUGAUUCUACAACAUGUAUACUCAGAAAAAUGAGA